AUAGUCAUUUUUGCAGGCAUGUAUAGGAAUAUAGCCAAGUCUUAUUUCUCAUAUGUAUAUUUUUGCUUCAAAAUAUGAUUUCGAAAGUCUCUCUCCAUCGGGAAGAGCUACUUUAAUCAAUGUUAAAAUUUGAUCAAAUGACUUUUAACUCCAUUGGUUCACGAUUUUAAUAUGAAGUAAUUUUAUCAAAACCUCUAACUUGAAAAACUUUAUACAAUUUGGAUAGAGUGGCUCUCGUGCAUCCCUUACAAGCUUUGCAAACUGUUUAGAAGUCUCUUUUACUUCA
rnacentral:lncRNA from 1 species